UUCCUACGGGAGGCAGCAGUGGGGAAUUUUGGACAAUGGGCGCAAGCCUGAUCCAGCAAUGCCGCGUGCAGGAAGAAGGCCUUCGGGUUGUAAACUGCUUUUGUACGGAACGAAACGGUCCUGGUUAAUACCUGGGGCUAAUGACGGUACCGUAAGAAUAAGCACCGGCUAACUACGUGCCAGCAGCCGCGGUAAUACGUAGGGUGCAAGCGUUAAUCGGAAUUACUGGGCGUAAAGCGUGCGCAGGCGGUUUUGUAAGACAGGCGUGAAAUCCCCGGGCUUAACCUGGGAAUGGCGCUUGUGACUGCAAAGCUGGAGUGCGGCAGAGGGGGAUGGAAUUCCGCGUGUAGCAGUGAAAUGCGUAGAUAUGCGGAGGAACACCGAUGGCGAAGGCAAUCCCCUGGGCCUGCACUGACGCUCAUGCACGAAAGCGUGGGGAGCAAACAGGAUUAGAUACCCUGGUAGUCCACGCCCUAAACGAUGUCAACUGGUUGUUGGGUCUCUUCUGACUCAGUAACGAAGCUAACGCGUGAAGUUGACCGCCUGGGGAGUACGGCCGGAAGGUUGAAACUCAAAUGAAUUGACGGAA
rnacentral:rRNA from 1 species